AGAGACUGGUCUGAAGAA
rnacentral:snRNA from 1 species